UCAGAAGUCUGAUGAAUCCUGAAACUGGGUCAUCGUCACCUGUUCGCUGAUCUUUUGAGGACUUCAUAAACACACAGUGAAGUAAGUGGAAUGAACAGGGCUCUCGUUUGAGGACGAAGCAAACACAGAAGCCAGAACCAGAGAUAACUUCUAGCUCCUCACCUGGAACCGCUGUUACACUUCACUUCAUCACCCAGGACACGACAGACCGAAGCCGCCUUCCUGAACAUUCGCUUACCCUCUGAGAGACUUCUGAUUAUGACCAUAAAGGUGGUGAAGAAAAAAAAAAAAAUGGACCGAUACCAAACUGGGAAAUCCUUACAGCAACUCCGAUGGUAACACUGACACCAGACAGCUAACCACAUUGGAAACCGAGAUGAGGCUGUGAGGAGGCUUUCGCAAGAGUUGAUGAUGGAGACCUGAACCAGAGUGCUGGUGGUGAAGAUAAUACCAAGCGAUCGUGUUUUUGGGUCUGUAUUUUCAAGGAAGCACCAACAGGGUAUACUGGUAGAUUUGAUACAGAAUGUGAGUGAUGUGAAGAAGUCAGGAACAUCCCAAGGUUUGGGGCAGGGGCCACCAGAAGAAUGUAGGACCAUUUCCUGAGAUAGGAAGACUAGAGACACAGUCUAUGGCAUUCCAAAUGGUGAAUGGAGAGGUUUUUUGCUUUUUGUUUGUUUUAUCAAUAUGUUUGACAAACAGGUAAAGAAGCCAAACAGAUAAUGAGCAUGAAAAUCUGGAGUUCAAACACAAGAUCAAGGGUAAAGAUGUAACUGUGGGAGCAUCAGCAUUUGGGAUGAUGUCUAAGGUCAUGAAAAGAGAUGAGGCCAUCCAGAGAAUGAGUAGAGAGAGAGAACAGAAGAAGUAGGAGGCAAAGGAGCCCAAGAAGAAAUGACUAGAAAAUAAGAGAAGGAAAGAAAGAAGAAAGAAAUCAACUAAGUUAAAUGCUCACGCUAGAUCAAAGAACAAGAACUGAUUACUGGAUUUACCAAUGUAAAGUUCAUUAACAUUCUUGACAAGAGCUGUUCUGGUGGAGCUGGGAGUAAGAAAGGGCAAAAGGUGGAAGAGGGUGGGUUUAAGAGAAAGUGGAAGGACAGCAGACACAGUCAGUUUGUACAGAAAACAUAUUCAUUCAAGUAGCUGUUUUAAAAGGAAACAGAGACCUGUAACAUUAGAUAGCAAAAAGAAACUUUUGUUUUUUGUUUUUGUUUUUUUUUUUUUUUUUUUUCAAGUUGGGAAAUACUCAGGGGGAAGCUGAGUGAAGAAUAUAUGUAAAUUCUCUGUACUACUUUUUUUAAAGUAAACUCUAUCCCCAA